rnacentral:rRNA from 1 species
UACGAGUGCCUCAAGCGUUAUCCGGAAUCAUUGGGCGUAAAGGAUGUGUAGGUGGUAGUGUUAGUCUCUUGUUAAAUUCUUCGGCUUAACCGGGGGCAUGCAAGGGAAACGGCACAACUAGAGGAUGCGAGGGGUCUGCGGAACUCAUAGUGUAGCGGUGAAAUGCGUUGAUAUUAUGGGGAACACCAAAAGCGAAGGCAGCAGACUGGAGCACUCCUGACACUGAAACAUGAAAGCGUGGGUCGCGAAUGGG